AACCUUAUGGACCUGCGGGCGUAUACCUGCGGAAGGAUCAUUACAGAGUUCAUGCCCUCACGGGUAGAUCUCCCACCCUUGAAUACUAUACCUUUGUUGCUUUGGCGGGCCGCUUUGGCUACUGGCUCUGGCUAGUAAGUGCCCGCCAAAGAACCCCAAAACUCUGAAUAUUAGUGUCGUCUGAGUACUAUAUAAUAGUUAAAACUUUUAACAACGGAUCU
rnacentral:misc_RNA from 1 species